GACAGAAGCUUCGGUGGAAGAUUACUAAUGAGAGUGGCGAACGGGUGAGUAACGCGUGAGCAACCUGCCUAUGACAGUGGGAUAGCCUCGGGAAACCGGGAUUAAUACCGCAUAAAAUCGUAGAAACACAUGUUUUAACGGUCAAAGAUUUAUCGGUCAUAGAUGGGCUCGCGUCUGAUUAGCUAGUUGGCGAGAUAACAGCCCACCAAGGCGACGAUCAGUAGCCGGUCUGAGAGGAUGAACGGCCACAUUGGAACUGAGACACGGUCCAAACUCCUACGGGAGGCAGCAGUGGGGAAUAUUGCACAAUGGGGGAAACCCUGAUGCAGCGACGCCGCGUGAACGAAGAAGGUAUUCGUAUCGUAAAGUUCUGUCCUAUGGGAAGAUAAUGACAGUACCAUAGAAGAAAGCUCCGGCUAAAUACGUGCCAGCAGCCGCGGUAAUACGUAUGGAGCGAGCGUUGUCCGGAAUUAUUGGGCGUAAAGGGUACGCAGGCGGUUUAAUAAGUCGAAUGUUAAAGAUCGGGGCUCAACCCCGUAAAGCAUUGGAAACUGAUAAACUUGAGUAGUGG
rnacentral:rRNA from 1 species